CUUUUGAACACAAGCAAGCACUUCACUCCAUUUAUCCUCGGACAAGCCCUCCUUGAACUCAGCCAAAUUAUAAAAUCCUUUUGCUGUAUUUUGCUGUAUUUUGCUGAGAGGAUUCGAGGUCCCUGUUGGGGUGCCACUUGUGGGUGGUCUCUCUAAAGGGAGACCUGAGACCCUGGAGAGAACCAACCUUUAUAGAAAGAAAAGGAGACAGCCUGGGGGACAAGCAGAAGUUUACUCCUCUGACACUAUUUGACAAUCACAAAGGAAAGAAGUAAGGCUUUUAUACAGCCAUGACCUGAAUGAUUUUGCUAUGCCAUGUGCUGUGCUACCUGGAUACAUGUACAAAAGCCAUGGGAUCAACACACCAUGAACUGAGACUUCAGAACUGCCAACUUGAGCACCAGAGGGAUGUCACAGAGGAAGUGGUUGAUGAUAUUAGAUCCACAGAAGGGCAGAAUGAAAAUCUGCACUGUCUGCUCCAUCUGGACUGGGAAGCUGAAGAUACAGGAGCCAGUGACCAGCUGGAUACAGACCUUGUGGUUCAUGAUCAGCGGAUACUGCAGAGGGUUACUAAUGGCCACGUAGCAAUCAUAGGCCAUUACCAAGAGGAGGAAGCACUCACAGCCCCCAGCACAAGGAAGAAGCCCAUCUGUGUGGCACAGGUUACUUCGUUAUAAAGAAAUGGCAGAGAAAGCAGUAUGUGAAGAUGACCUGUCUUGGGGAACCUUCUCCUGCAUUUCUCCUUUCAGCUGCUGGUGCAGCAACAGCCACAGCAAUCAAAAGAAAUGUUGCUGUUUCCUGCCCACAAUGAUCCAUGAUGACCUGUAAUGAUGCACCUUCCAUCUGAAUGCAGAACUCCUCUCAGAGACAUUUUAGAACUUAGAGCUGCAGAGGAUUGCUAUUCUUCAGGUGUGUUCAUUGUGUAUAAAUGCACUGCCUUCCUGGUUGUAUUCCUCCUAAAUCAGCUGAAAACCUUUCUUCACAUUUUUUUGCCUCAACAUUGAGCACUUGUGAUUGCACAUGUCUGGCCACAGUAGAUUACUAAAGCUGUGGAUGUUACAGCAGACUUGUAUCAAACAGAAUCAUUUCCUGAAACAUUUGGACUGUGACUAAAGAAAGUAUCCCUCCAUAGGGGAUGUAGUUGUAGGUUUUUAAACAUGUAAACUUUGGGCCAUAUUUAGGUCUAUAUCAUGGACAAAACAAUAUAACCUGGACCGAGGACAUAGGGAAAAUUACCCAGAUAGAUGUUCUUAGCCAGCAUGAUGUAGGAGGCAAUGCUCUGUCUCAAAUGAAGAUGAGCCUUUCCUUCCAAUUGUUCUGUUGAUCUUUGCACUGAGCCCAGUACAUGUAGCCUUGAUGGGUUCAUGACACAGUCAUUAUUUAGGCUGUGCCCUGCUCCAAAUGGGAAUGGGUUUGACUUGCAUUCUGGAUGCUUCAGAAAGCCAUCUGUGACACCAUCACCGUGUGCUCAUCCUCAAGAAGACAGGCACACAGGUAGAUGCAGUAUGUGUGAAAUUGUGUAUACACUAACAAUUGUGUACAAGUGCAGCAGAGAUGGGAGGACCCUCGGCAUGGCCCUCAGUUGUACACACUGGGUGGCACUGAAAUCACUACCAAAAUUUCCUAUGCCUGGUGGUAUUUUUCUACACACUAGUGAAAACAGAUAGUGAGCAAUAGAAGAAGCAGUUUGUCACACUGUAUGUAAUGAUAAUCACAAAUGAGAUGUCCUAGGGAGAGUAUGUGAAUAGGGGAAAUCUCACUGAAAAAAUGGCUUCCAAAGUGGAGUGGGAAGAAGAGUUGGAUCAGAUGGGUGGGAGUCCAUUUGGAGAGCAGUGUGGACAGAGGGGGAUGGGAGGGUGAGGAGCAGAUCAAAGGCUGAGAUCAAAGCUGUUUCCAUUCCAAAAUUUAAAAAUUAAAAUAUUAAUUUUUAAUUGCAUCAGCUCAAAUUUUAUUUUUGAAAACACUUGAAAUACUUCAAACUUUAGAUGUAUAUUUGUGCCACCAGCUUCCUUCAUCUGAGGCACUAUAACAAAAAAAAUAUGGAGGUCAUUUAAAAAUAUCAAAUUUAUUUAGCAUAAAUACUGAGCUUAAGAAGUCAGAGUUUUUUAAAAUUUUAUUUUCAGUCUAUGAAAAUGAUACCAUCACUGCUUACCUCUGAGAGAAAAAGAAAUAUAUAUAUAUAUAUA
rnacentral:lncRNA from 1 species